ACACACCCAGGAGCUCCAGCCUGUUAUGGGAUGGGCAUCCUACCAGGAACCAAGGAUGCUAAGAUGUCCUCCAAAAUGGAUUGCCUCAUAUCUAGUACCCGCCUGCUGCAGGCUUCUUCAUCUAGUUCCUCUGGGGACACACUGUGCAGCUAAUUCAUCCAGGCAGAUUCACUGGGAAGCUGUUGCUCAUGAGGGUGUAAUGAAGAAUCUCCAGGUGGAGAAAUGAUCCUGAAUUAUCCAGUGGGCCCUACAUGUCACCACAUUGCGAUCCUUCUAAGUAGGAAGCAGAAGAUCUGACACAUGCAGGAGAGGGGAAGGCAAUGUGACCAUGGAGGCAGAGAGGGGAGUGAUGUGGCCACAAACCAAGGAUUGUUGGCAGCUGCCAGUGGCCGAAGGGGCAAUGAAUGGAUUCUCCUUUGGAGCCUCUGGAGGGAGAAUGGCCCUGCUAACACCUUGAUUUUGGCCCAGUGAUACUGAUUUUGGACUUCUGCCCUCUAGAACUGUGAGGGAAUACUUUUCUGUUGCUUUAAGCCAUUGAAUUUAUGAUGAUUUGUUACAGCACCCACAGGAAACAAAUGCAUGGAUCUAACUUGAACCUAGUGAGUUAGAUUACUUCAGGGAAACACAAUAAAUAGUUAACAGGGCUUGUCAGGGGGGUGGGAGUGAGAUGAAAGUGUGAAGGCAACUUCUAUGGUUUACUUUUAUAUUUCCCUAUUUUUCAAAUCUUUUGCAAGAAAAUGAAUUCAUAUACUAUUUUAAAAAACAUAUAAAAUAUGAGCAAAAAGAUUUAUUGUAUCUCUUUAAAAUAAUUUAGAACAAGUAAUGGCUGCAGAACCUUAAAGGGUUUUUCUAGCAUGUUUCCAAGAUACAGUCUUGAUUAUUUGAGAUUGACAUGAAGAUGGCCCAGACUGUGCCACAACACAGCACUUGACACCAAAUGUUAGACUGUAAUGGGCCGUGUGAGUAUUACUCAGUGUGGCCAUUUCAUUAUCAAAUAUCUAUUUAUUUCAGAUUUCAAACACGAAUACAAGCUUCUCCUUUCUUUCCUUCCUUUCUCUUUUUCUCCUUUCUACAGCAAGUUCAGGAAUGUGCUAGGUAUGACCUGGGAUAGAAAGAGCAUAUACUCAGCUUUUGCCUUCAAGAAAAUUGGAUAUUGGCUUGGGAGAUAAGAUAAAUGAAAAGGAAGCAGAUGAUCUGUUAUAGAAGAGAUAACACUGUAAGCCCAAAUGUAUGUGAUUAAGUUCUAAAAGUGUAAACCAAUAGGGAGUGCUGUGAGGUGUCACCACGGGCGCAGAUUGCAGCAGAUCUGACCAUACAAGUGUAAAUAAAACCCUAUUGAAUGCCCCCUCUCCCUCCCCAAUUGUUCUGAGUGGUUGCUUCAAGAUUUCUUCUCAUCGUUCUCAAAUUGUUACUGUGAGAUUAACUGGCAAACAUUUCUCCUUAACAUAAGAAGUGUGAAUGGAAUCCUACCAAGUGAUUUUGCCAAUAGUUCCUAUUCCUGCUGCAAACAGUGGUGUGCUCAGGCUUAAGCUGUAACAUGUCCACACUCACCUGUCACUUGGGAAUGCCUCUGUUGGAAUGCAACAUGCCCACUUAUCACACAGCCGGCAUGAGAGGCAGAGUGGAGUUUAACCAAGCAUUCUGCCCCCAAAGUCUGCAGAUGUAGCCAGUGCCUUCAGAAAAGGGAAGGGAAACUAACCCUGUUGAGUAUCUACUAUGUGCUAGGCAUUCUGUUAAGCACUUUUACACACAUCAUUUAAUCCUCGUGACAGUAUUUAGAAAUAGCUAUCAUUUCCCAGUUCUGUAGAUGAGGAAGAAAAGGUAGGCUCAGAGAGGGUAGGUAAGUUGUCUAAGGUCACAUAGCUGGUACAUAGUAGUAGAGCUAGGGUGCAAACCCAAGAUUUUCUGAGUCCAAAGCACAUGC
ensembl:lncRNA SLC1A3-AS1 SLC1A3 antisense RNA 1